UAGGGAAUAUUGCGCAAUGGACGGAAGUCUGACGCAGCGACGCCGCGUGAGCGAUGAAGGUCUUCGGAUCGUAAAGCUCUGUCCUUGGGGAAAGAAGGUCUUCGGACUUGACGGUACCCAAGAAGAAAGCCCCGGCUAACUACGUG
rnacentral:rRNA from 1 species